UCGAGAAUCUUCCGCAAUGGGCGAAAGCCUGACGGAGCGACGCCGCGUGCGGGAUGAAGGCCUUCGGGUUGUAAACCGCUGUCAGAGAGGCGGAAAUGCCAAGGGGUUCUCUCCUUGGUUUGACCUAAUCUCAGAGGAAGCGCAGGCUAAGUUCGUGCCAGCAGCCGCGGUAAUACGAACUGCGCAAACGUUAUUCGGAAUCACUGGGCUUAAAGAGUCCGUAGGCGGCUUGGAAGGUGAGGUGUGAAAUCCCACAGCCCAACUGUGGAAUUGCGCCUCAAACCGUCAAGCUAGAGGGAGACAGGGGUGAGCGGAACAGAUGGUGGAGCGGUGAAAUGCGUUGAUAUCAUUUGGAACACCGGUGGCGAAGGCGGCUCACUGGGUCUCUUCUGACGCUGAGGGACGAAAGCUAGGGGAGCGAACGGGAUUAGAUACCCCCGUAGUCC
rnacentral:rRNA from 1 species